GGGUAUCACUUGGCUGCUGGGCGUCUGGAGAUAGAGGCUUAUCCUAUAUUGUGAAGACAUGUAUAGAGGUCAAUUGAUAAACUGAAGCAAAGUUUUUCCUGCCUACCAACCUCCUGGAAUUUCUGGAACUUCAUCUACUGUGGUCAUACCCUUCACCACCCAGUGAAACCUAGUUAAUAAGAUAUUUUAAAGAGGUCAAUUGAUAAACUGAAGCAAAGUUUUUCCUGCCUACCAACCUCCUGGAAUUUCUGGAACUUCAUCUACUGUGGUCAUACCCUUCACCACCCAGUGAAACCUAGUUAAUAAGAUAUUUUAAAGAGGUCAAUUGAUAAACUGAAGCAAAGUUUUUCCUGCCUACCAACCUCCUGGAAUUUCUGGAACUUCAUCUACUGUGGUCAUACCCUUCACCACCCAGUGAAACCUAGUUAAUAAGAUAUUUUAAAGAGGUCAAUUGAUAAACUGAAGCAAAGUUUUUCCUGCCUACCAACCUCCUGGAAUUUCUGGAACUUCAUCUACUGUGGUCAUACCCUUCACCACCCAGUGAAACCUAGUUAAUAAGAUAUUUUAAAGAGGUCAAUUGAUAAACUGAAGCAAAGUUUUUCCUGCCUACCAACCUCCUGGAAUUUCUGGAACUUCAUCUACUGUGGUCAUACCCUUCACCACCCAGUGAAACCUAGUUAAUAAGAUAUUUUAAAGAGGUCAAUUGAUAAACUGAAGCAAAGUUUUUCCUGCCUACCAACCUCCUGGAAUUUCUGGAACUUCAUCUACUGUGGUCAUACCCUUCACCACCCAGUGAAACCUAGUUAAUAAGAUAUUUUAAAGAGGUCAAUUGAUAAACUGAAGCAAAGUUUUUCCUGCCUACCAACCUCCUGGAAUUUCUGGAACUUCAUCUACUGUGGUCAUACCCUUCACCACCCAGUGAAACCUAGUUAAUAAGAUAUUUUAAAGAGGUCAAUUGAUAAACUGAAGCAAAGUUUUUCCUGCCUACCAACCUCCUGGAAUUUCUGGAACUUCAUCUACUGUGGUCAUACCCUUCACCACCCAGUGAAACCUAGUUAAUAAGAUAUUUUAAAGAGGUCAAUUGAUAAACUGAAGCAAAGUUUUUCCUGCCUACCAACCUCCUGGAAUUUCUGGAACUUCAUCUACUGUGGUCAUACCCUUCACCACCCAGUGAAACCUAGUUAA